rnacentral:rRNA from 4 species
UUAUCGGAGAGUUUGAUCCUGGCUCAGGACGAACGCUGGCGGCGUGCCUAAUACAUGCAAGUCGAGCGGACAGAUGGGAGCUUGCUCCCUGAUGUUAGCGGCGGACGGGUGAGUAACACGUGGGUAACCUGCCUGUAAGACUGGGAUAACUCCGGGAAACCGGGGCUAAUACCGGAUGGUUGUUUGAACCGCAUGGUUCAGACAUAAAAGGUGGCUUCGGCUACCACUUACAGAUGGACCCGCGGCGCAUUAGCUAGUUGGUGAGGUAACGGCUCACCAAGGCAACGAUGCGUAGCCGACCUGAGAGGGUGAUCGGCCACACUGGGACUGAGACACGGCCCAGACUCCUACGGGAGGCAGCAGUAGGGAAUCUUCCGCAAUGGACGAAAGUCUGACGGAGCAACGCCGCGU